rnacentral:rRNA from 1 species
CCUACGGGGGGCAGCAGUGGGGAAUAUUGGUCAAUGGGCGCAAGCCUGACCCAGCAACGCCGCGUGAGGGAAGAAGGCUUUCGGUUUGUAAACUUCUUUUCUCAGGGACGAAGCAAGUGACGGUCCCUGAGGAAUAAGCCACGGCUAACUACGUGCCAGCAGCCGCUGUAAUACGUAGGUGGCAAGCGUUAUACGGAUUUACUGGGUGUAAGGGGCGUGUAGGCGGGACUGCAAGUCAGAUGGGAAAACCACGGGCUCAACCUGUGGCCUGCAUUUGAAACUGUAGUUCUUGAGUACUGGAGAGGUAGGCGGAAUUCCUAGUGUAGCGGUGAAAUGCGUAGAUAUUAGGAGGAACACCAGUGGCGAAGGCGGUCUGCUGGACAGCAACUGACGCUGAGGCGCGAAAGCGUGGGGAGCAAACAGGAUUAGAUACCCUGGUAGUC